rnacentral:rRNA from 1 species
CCCUUAGAUGUUCUGGGCCGCACGCGUGCUACACUGAGUGGAUCAGCGGGUCAGGUUGCGCGAAAGUGUUUCCUAAUCUUGAAAUCCGCUCGUGAUGGGGAUUGACGGUUGCAAUUUUCCGUCAUGAACGAGGAAUACCUUGUAAGCGCGGGUCAUCAUCCCGCGCUGAAUACGUCCCUGCCCUUUGUACACACCGCCCGUCGCUCCUACCGAUUGAGUGGUCCGGUGAGGCUUUGGGAUCUGAGCAAAGAGAGCGUUUCGCUCGUUUUGCCCGGAAAACUCAGUCGAACCUUAUCAUUUAGAGGAAGGAGAAGUCAUAACA